CUGUAAGAAACACAGCACUAACCCCCAGUGCCUCUCAGAGGUAGAAUCCAGGCUGCUGUAGGAUAUAUAUUCAAACAGUGCCCUCAGGGUGCAAACCUUCACAGUACAGACAUCUCCCGAAGGAAGGGGAAAGAGAAAACCUCAUUAGGGUUUAACGAGCCAGGAGACAGCCCUGUAACAGAGCCCACCCUGGAGUCUGUGCUCUCCUGCCUCUCAGUUUGAUGGCUGUCAUACCGCCGCAGCUAUGAGGUAAAACUCCAAGCAGCAGCCCUGUAAACAGCACAUUUCAUUACAGUCCUUCUCCAAAAAAAGUUUGCAACCAAGACUGGGUGAGAAAUAUUUAACACACAGAAUGAGGAUUUGUGGUAGAACAGGAGAUGGAAGCAGUCAUGGCUGCAAAUUGCCCCCGAGCACAGCAUUCAGCUGCCUGCCUGAGGUUCACACCUGCAACACUGGGAUGGGGUUGCUCAGCCAGCCAAAACACCUGGAGAAAACAGCAGGAAUAACACAGGGCUUGGCUUUCCCAGCUUCAACCAGAGAUUUUUUUCCACUUCUUCUAUACAGUGGUUGUGAGCUCUUUUCUUCCAGACCUCGCAUUGUUGUGACUGUCCUUACCUUACUCUCAUGGCUGGAAUUGAUCCCUACAAGGCACCUUAAAGGACCCAGAUGCAGAAACCUUGGUUGUAUUUGACAGCCAGUGUAUGACAGCAUGGCCACACGCUGCUUAUAUAUAUACUGGAAUGCGGUUUCAGAGCCUGCAAGCCAUGAGAAUGAUUGCCCCCAGCCAGCACACCCAUGGCUGGAUGCUUUUGGAUAAAAGCAGUGCUGUCAUGCAUGCCCCACAGCACAGGGUCUCCUACAGAUGGAAGCAGAGCUUUGCAAAUUCAAGUAUUUCGGGGAAAUGAGCCAUAUCCCUGUUUUAACUGGCUAUAUCUGGAAAGAGAAUUGGCAACGAGGUGGAUUAUGUUGGCUGGAAAGAGCAGCCUCUCCCACAGGACCGGACAGAGUCUGAGAUGAUGAGGAAAUAGGCCAAAGAGAAGCCGCAGCGCAGAGCAGACUGGUGUUCCCUGUUCCCACGGAGAAGCUGACCCAUGAGAGAUGCUAGUCAUCCAGCAGCUGGGAAAGCUGCUUUGAGCAGGAGACAGCAGGACUGCCACAUCUGGCCGAUGUAUCUCCGUUUGGAUAUUCCCUCAUAAAGGUAGAUAUCUGCCAACGCCAG
ensembl:lncRNA